AUGGUCUUCAUACUUAAUGAGAAGCUAUCUGGGAGGAAGUGUCCAUUGUGCACCGCCCGAACAACAGCUGUUAAACCUCAUGUUCUGCGAGCACACCUACCUUGGUACUUUGGAGCCUUGACGGCUUGCUGGAAAUGUGGGGUUCAAGAGGGGAGGCAUUGGUUUUUGCGAGCAAAACACAGCAACACUGUGAGCCAUCCAGAGGGUGUCCUUUUUGGAGGGUCUGGUAGACGUCGUUGGGUUCACCUCAUAAACGGUCUUCUGCAUCGCAUAUGCUACCACUUAGGAUUAGACACUUUUGAUAGCCUACUGGGUUUUGUCAAAGAACAGAGUCUCUAUGUCGAGGAUACAACCCAGACUACAUCCGACUUCACUGACGGUGAGAGGGAGUUGCUUGCCCUGUUUGAGGAUUGUAAUGGUAUCACCAAAUCUUGGUGCUUUUCAAUUCACCCACCUAUGUCUGUGGCAUCGCUUGUCCAUUGGAGAAUCAUCAGUAACCUAUUGCAGCUUUUCUUGCCUGCUGGACAAAGAGAUGUCAUAUCCACCAUGCAGGAGCUAACCUAUUCUGGGGAUAGUAUAACUCCAGUGAUUCCUUCGGAUAUGUUUAGCCAGGUUGGGUUGCGCUUUGGGGAUUCUCAUUUUCACCUAGACAUUCUCUUAUCCAGAACUUCGAUCAGCGAUUUUGACGUCUUGGAGGCCACGUAUGGGGAACGUGAAUUUCAGUUGGAUGUAGCAAUUGCCAAUUAUGUCUUUCCUGAUCAUUGGGAGUGUUUCCGGGAGCAAGCAAACGACCCACGGAUCUACCUCACCUUCGGCAUUCAUCCGCAUGUCACAAGCAUGGAAUAUUCAACAGUGCGAUUGCAUGAACUUCUGCGUGAGCCAGGUUGUGUAGGACUAGGAGAGGUUGGGUUGGAUUUUACCUACUCUUGCCGGUGCAACCCUAGAUGUCGCAGUUCAAAGGCCUGUAAGAGGGAGAAACUAGCUCACCAGCGGGCAUUUCUAAGAAAGGUUCUACCUAUAGCUAAGGAGAUGGAUCUCACAUUAGUAGUUCAUUGCCGGGACCCCAACACGGGAUGUGCCGCAAAGGAAUUUCUUUCCAUUUUGGAAGACUUGCACUUUACUGACCUUAGGAUCCAUAGACACUGUUUCACUGCGAAUGCAGUAGAGGCCAUGACCUGGAUGCACAGAUUACCUAAUGUCAAAUUUGGGUUCACCUCUAACCUCUUAAGACUUUUUGGGGCAGCAGAUGUCCUUUGUGCUAUUCCUAUUUCUAAUGUACUCUUUGAGUCGGAUGCUCCAUACCUGACACCAACCUCUCGUAUGAACAUUUACACACCAUGGGCCCUCUUCCCAGUUGCAAGAAGAAUUGCCGAGCUAAAGGGAGUCGCGUUGUCUGAUGUUCUGGCGCAGACUCUUCAUAAUUUGAAAUGCCUGUAUCGCAUUUAGGCAGUUAUAUGUUAUCUUUUGUUAAUUCUUUGUGAUGCGGUAAAUUGCCGCAUUAUUUGUCUUUAUUUCAGUUCUGGGAUAGGACUUAUUCUAUGGAAAAGGGAGGAAUGUAGUACGGACUGAAUGUUAUUAUGUAACCUGUACUGAUCCCCUGUAUGUUUCCCGUGUUGUGCCCCUUAUGCGUAUGUGUGUGAGUGACGUUAUCAGUUUCUGCAUAGAAGACGAAGACUUCAUUCCUGUGUGUAAGCACUAAAACUACUUUAUUGUACUUUGAUCUGCUGUGUGCGGUCUGGGGCUGCUGUGUGCGCCUAACCUUGUCGGGGACUCGCUGCUGUGUGCGCCUGUCGACGUAUCAUUG
rnacentral:sRNA from 1 species